rnacentral:misc_RNA from 1 species
GAUGAAGAACGUAGCAAAAUGCGAUAAGUAAUGCGAAUUGCAGAAUUUCCGUGAGUCAUCGAAUCUUUGAACGCACAUUGCGCCCCUUGGUAUUCCGAGGGGCAUGCCUGUUCGAGCGUCAUAUUAACCACUCCCGCUUGCGGGGUCUUGGGCUUCGCCUCCGGGCGGGCCUUAAAAUCAGUGGCGGUGCCGUCGGGCUCUACGCGUAGUAAAUUUUCUCGCGAUAGGGUCCCGGUGGAUGCUUGCCAACAACCCCCAACUUCUUAAGGUUGACCUCGGAUCAGGUAGGGAUACCCGCUGAACUUAAGCAUAUCAAUAAGCGGAGGA